AGGGUUGCAAGAUAGUUAUUGUAAAGCCCAACCAACCCUGUUUUUGAAACUCCAUUUUGUGCCAGACAGAGGCUAAACUCCAGUUCCUGGAAGAAAAUCCGAGUCCUCCUGGGCACGCAUCCUAUGGCAACUGACCCCACUUAGCAACAGCUAGUCAGGCUACAAUGGCAGAGUCAAGAUUUUCACUUGGCUGACAGACUCCAUCCAGGGAUCACCUGUGGUCUGCAAACUGCUGAGCUCUGGACUUGCUGAAAGCUAGUGUAGACCUGACCAGACUGUAUGAUUGCUCCUUGUCUCUUCAGUUGGCUCGGCUAAUCAAAUGUUUCUGAUAAAUGCCCCAUUGUCCAGCCUUUGACUAGCCUUUCACCCUGCCUGGGCCCUGACAAUGAUGCCCUAGCUUCAACUGGAAGUAGUUACAGAAAAGAAUAAGUUGUUCCUUGUCCACUCCCCCCACCCCCAAACAGGGGCUUAAAUGCUAAGUCAAAAGGAAACUCCCAAUUGGCACACCAAGAGUGAUACUUGUUAAAACCAAAUAGACUCAGUUCUCGCAACAGAUAGAUUCCUUAGCUGAAGUAGUUCUAAAAUAUGAUAGGGCACUUGACCUGCUCCAUAUAAAACAGAGAGGUUAUUGUGUAAUUUUAAGAGAAAAUUGUUGUUCCUAUAUACAAACCACUCAGAAGUCAUUACUGAUAAUCCAACUAUACUCAAAGAAACAUUACACAAAAGGGAACCAGAAAUAAAAUAAUAAAAUUCUCCUUUUCACGAUUCUCCUAGAUAAUAACUCUGAUAUCAGACAUUGCAGAGCCGUUGACCCUUCUGUUUCUGCUAAUUACUAUUGGCCCUUGUAUCAUUAAAGCCUUAACUGGAUAUA